rnacentral:rRNA from 1 species
AUUGAACGCUGGCGGCAUGCCUUACACAUGCAAGUCGAACGGCAGCACGGGUGCUUGCACCUGGUGGCGAGUGGCGAACGGGUGAGUAAUACAUCGGAACAUGUCCUGUAGUGGGGGAUAGCCCGGCGAAAGCCGGAUUAAUACCGCAUACGAUCUACGGAUGAAAGCGGGGGACCUUCGGGCCUCGCGCUAUGGGGUUGGCCGAUGGCUGAUUAGCUAGUUGGUGGUGUAAAGGCCUACCAAGGCGACGAUCAGUAGCUGGUCUGAGAGGACGACCAGCCACACUGGGACUGAGACACGGCCCAGACUCCUACGGGAGGCAGCAGUGGGGAAUUUUGGACAAUGGGCGAAAGCCUGAUCCAGCAAUGCCGCGUGUGUGAAGAAGGCCUUCGGGUUGUAAAGCACUUUUGUCCGGAAAGAAAUCCUUGGCCCUAAUACGGUCGGGGGAUGACGGUACCGGAAGAAUAAGCACCGGCUAACUACGUG